rnacentral:rRNA from 1 species
UAAUACGUAGGGUGCGAGCGUUAAUCGGAAUUACUGGGCGUAAAGCGUGCGCAGGCGGUUCUCCAAGUCCGUUGUGAAAGCCCCGGGCUCAACCUGGGAAUGGCAGUGGAAACUAGGGGACUGGAAUCUGGCAGAGGGGGGUGGAAUGCCGCGUGUAGCAGUGAAAUGCGUAGAGAUGCGGCGGAACACCGAUGGCGAAGGCAGCCCCCUGGGCUGAGAUUGACGCUCAGGCACGAAAGCGUGGGGAGCAAACAGGAUUAGAUACCCUGGUAGUCCACGCCCUAAACUAUGUCAACUGGUUGUCGGGGAAGCAAUUCCUUGGUAACGAAGCUAACGCGUGAAGUUGACCGCCUGGGGAGUACGGCCGCAAGGUUA